GAUAUUUGCUUCUUUCUUUCUUUCUUCUUCUUUCUGUGACAUUCCUUAUUUCAGAUAUCACAACUUAGGGAGAGAGAGAGAAGAGAGAGAAAGUUCGUUAAAAGACCAAUUUGCCCUUCGAUCUUCUUCGUCUUCCUCUCUCGCGAAAUCCAACGUUUCAUUCACACAGUGUCACCAUGAACGAGAAGGCCAACGUUUCUAAGGAGCUCAACGCCAAGCACAAAAAGAUACUGGAAGGACUUCUUAAACUACCAGAGAAUAAGGAAUGUGCUGACUGCAAAGCUAAAGGCCCAAGAUGGGCUAGUGUCAAUCUUGGCAUCUUUAUAUGCAUGCAGUGUUCAGGAAUACAUAGAAGUCUUGGGGUACACAUAUCAAAGGUUCGCUCUGCAACAUUGGACACCUGGCUCCCGGAGCAGGUUGCAUUCAUUCAAUCAAUGGGAAAUGAGAAGGCAAAUAGUUACUGGGAAGCAGAAUUACCCCCACAUUAUGAUAGAGUUGGAAUUGAAAAUUUCAUUCGUGCAAAGUAUGAAGAGAAGAGAUGGGUUGCAAGGGAUGAGAAACCAAAAUCACCUUCUAGAAUACGAGAGAAUACUCCUUCACAUUGGCAAAAGCCUGUAGAAAGAGGUGGGCAUAGUUAUGCAGCUGCAUCUGAGAAUUGUUUUGAGGAAAGGAAGAAAAUCCAACCAUCCAAUGCAAUUCCCGCCACAAGAAUUAGUGUUCCUGCUCCUCCCAAAGGACCUGAGCAAGUAAUUCCUGUGAUAGAGCCUCAACAUAUUGAGAAAGUGGAAUCUGUGGUACCACCACCGCUAGCUGAAACUUCAAAACAGCCUACUGACACAAAACCAAAUUCCCCUCCAAAAGUCAACUAUGCUACAGACCUUUUUGACAUGUUGUCUUUGGAUGGUCCAAAUGAAAAGGACUCAGGGGCAGCUGAUGCUACGACUGAUGACAAUAACUGGGCAGGUUUUCAGUCUGCUGCAGAGGCCUCAACAGCCGAGAAAACUGGUGCUGGGAAAACAGUUGAGAGUACCACCCAGUCUACUUCUGGAAUUGAAGAUUUGUUUAAAGAUUCACCUUCAGUUACACAAAGUUUAACUCCAGAAAAACCAAAAAAAGAUGUUAAAAAUGAUAUCAUGAGCCUCUUUGAGAAGGGCAAUAUGGUGUCUCCAUUUUCUACCCAUCAACAGCAGCUAGCCAUGCUGGCACAUCAACAGACUCUUCUAAUGGCUGCCGCUGCUAAAUCUGCUGGUGGGGAUUCCAAGUAUGCUGCUAGCACACAACAACCAGGGUCCAAUAUCCCAGUCCAAAGUUGGCCAGCUGCUGGCUACCCAAUUCCAGUAUCAAUGCCCGUGGGUGGUCAGGGAGAUUUGCAGAAACUCAUGCAGACAAUGAACAUGACUGCAGCGCAUUCAGCUGGGAGUUCAGUUCAGUAUCCACCAUCUAGAUUCUGAAUAAUCUUUGGUCGAUAUUGCCGUCAAUAAGGAAGGAUACACGGUUCCCCAAAUCAAAAUUACUGAGCUGUGGGUAAUGUUGGCUGUGGUGCCAAAAGGCGAUGAUUCUUUCUAAGUUCUGACUUUUAAAGUUACUAUGCUAUGGGGCAAGCUGCUCCAGUUAAUGGCGUGACGACAACGGGAGGGAGUAACAACCCUCAGUCAGCAGCUCAAGGAUCAUCGACCCCUUCAAAGACAGCGAAUGAUUAUGAUUUUUCCUCCUUAACACAAGGAAUGUUUGCAAAACACUGAUUGGCCUUAGCUUAACAAUGCCGGCUAUGUCAUAUACCAUAGAAGAUUAGUUAAAAUUACAGAAAAGUGCAUUUUCAUUUUCUCAUUCCCUUGACCUGUGUCCGUGGGUUGUAAACCAUUUCUAGAGCUACUCAGCUAGUUCAAUUUUCUUCUUGUUUCGGGUGAUUGCUUCAUUUGUAUCAAUAGGUGUCUACACAAUAAAAUUUAGUGAUAUUAUUUAUUCCUUUUCUUUUUUCUCUUCUAUAUGUUCUGUAUUGCUGAUAUUCGAUCUUUUAUUUCGCCAUCUUAUAUAAUUAUGUCCAGAGUAUGAUACGUC